AGACAUCUACCUGAGAGUUUCUGAGAGCAGAAUCCAAGUCCAAGGCGGGUCCUGAGGAAUCACCACAGCAGUUAAAUGAACUGCUACCCUUGACUGCAUUGAAUAGCAGAGCUAAGAGCGUCUCGUAUUGUCUCGAGGAUGGGAAAACACCAGUUGAAGGAAGGAGGAGGCUGAUUUCUCAGCGAGGAUCUUCAACGCCAAUGACAUGACAGAUGGACUUGGAGGCUGACACAGGGUUAGUUCCUCUGGUUACAUUGUUUGGAGCGCAGCAGGUGCUGGAUGCUGUGAAGGCUACAGAGGAGACGUCAGAAGCAAUUCGCAGAGGCGAUGGUUUCCUGUCCAAGACUGAGCCUGUC